rnacentral:rRNA from 1 species
AACGCUAGCUACAGGCUUAACACAUGCAAGUCGAGGGGCAGCAUGAACAUAGUUUGCUAUGUUUGAUGGCGACCGGCGCACGGGUGCGUAACACGUAUCCAAUCUGCCCGUUACUCGGGGAUAGCCUUCUGAAAGGAAGAUUAAUACCCGAUAGCAUUCAUUUGCGGCAUCGCUUAUGAAUUAAAGAUUUAUCGGUAACGGAUGAGGAUGCGUACGAUUAGCUUGUUGGCGGGGUAACGGCCCACCAAGGCUACGAUCGUUAGGGGUUCUGAGAGGAAGGUCCCCCACACUGGAACUGAGACACGGUCCAGACUCCUACGGGAGGCAGCAGUGAGGAAUAUUGGUCAAUGGCCGGAAGGCUGAACCAGCCAAGUAGCGUGAAGGAUGAAGGUUCUAUGGAUUGUAAACUUCUUUUAUACGGGAAUAAAACCUCCCACGUGUGGGAGCUUGUAUGUACCGUAUGAAUAAGCAUCGGCUAACUCCGUGCCAGCAGCCGCGGUAAUACGGAGGAUGCGAGCGUUAUCCGGAUUUAUUGGGUUUAAAGGGAGCGUAGACGGGAGAUUAAGUCAGCUGUGAAAGUUUGAGGCCCAACCUUAAAAUUGCAGUUGAUACUGGUUUCCUUGAGUGCGGUUGAGGUGGAUGGAAUUCGUGGUGUAGCGGUGAAAUGCUUAGAUAUCACGAAGAACUCCGAUUGCGAAGGCAGUUCACUGGGCCGCAACUGACGCUGAAGCUCGAAAGUGCGGGUAUCAAACAGGAUUAGAUACCCUGGUAGUCCGCACCGUAAACGAUGGAUACUCGCUGCCGGCGAUACACAGUCGGUGGCCACGCGAAAGCCUUAAGUAUCCCACCUGGGGAGUACGCCGGCAACGGUGAAACUCAAAGGAAUUGACGGGGGCCCGCACAAGCGGAGGAACAUGUGGUUUAAUUCGAUGAUACGCGAGGAACCUUACCCGGGCUUGAACUAUGGUGGACCGUUCCAGAGAUGGAUCUUCCCUUCGGGGCCGCCAUGGAGGUGCUGCAUGGUUGUCGUCAGCUCGUGCCGUGAGGUGUCGGCUUAAGUGC